GUGGGGAAUCUUAGACAAUGGGCGCAAGCCUGAUCUAGCCAUGCCGCGUGAGUGAUGAAGGCCCUAGGGUUGUAAAGCUCUUUCAGCUGGGAAGAUAAUGACGGUACCAGCAGAAGAAGCCCCGGCUAACUCCGUGCCAGCAGCCGCGGUAAUACGGAGGGGGCUAGCGUUGUUCGGAAUUACUGGGCGUAAAGCGCGCGUAGGCGGACUGAAAAGUUGGGGGUGAAAUCCCGGGGCUCAACCUCGGAACUGCCUUCAAAACUAUCAGUCUGGAGUUCGAGGGAGGUGAGUGGAAUUCCGAGUGUAGAGGUGAAAUUCGUAGAUAUUCGGAGGAACACCAGUGGCGAAGGCGGCUCACUGGACGACUGUAGACGCUGAGGUGCGAAAGCGUGGGGAGCAAACAGGAUUAGAAACCCCGGUAGUCC
rnacentral:rRNA from 1 species